rnacentral:rRNA from 1 species
GACGGGGGCCCGCACAAGCGGUGGAGUAUGUGGUUUAAUUCGAUGCAACGCGAAGAACCUUACCUGGUCUUGACAUCCCGGAGACCCUUAGGAAACUAGGGGUGCUUCCAUCUGGAAGAAUCUGGAGACAGGUGCUGCAUGGCUGUCGUCAGCUCGUGUCGUGAGAUGUUGGGUUAAGUCCCGCAACGAGCGCAACCCUUGCCUUUAGUUGCCAGCAGUUCGGCUGGGCACUCUAAAGGGACUGCCGGUGUUAAACCGGAGGAAGGUGGGGAUGACGUCAAGUCCUCAUGGCCUUUAUGACCAGGGCUACACACGUACUACAAUGGCCGAUACAAAGGGCAGCGACACUGCGAGGUGAAGCCAAUCCCGUAAAAUCGGUCUCAGUCCGGAUUGGAGUCUGCAACUCGACUCCAUGAAGUUGGAAUCGCUAGUAAUCGUGGAUCAGCAUGCCACGGUGAAUACGUUCCCGGGCCUU